CGAAGGAAGAAAUUCAUUCGCGUUUCGUAGUUGGCGGAGAGAGGAAUUGUGUGACGAAAAUCGCUUGCGGUUUUCGCACCGUCCUUUCUACGAACCGAUUACGAACGUGUGCACUUUUCUUCUGGUAGGACGUCGCGAUCCGUUGGGUGUCGGUUUAAGGUACAUGGUGGAGUCCGUUUUGCCUAUGUGUCGAAUGGACCCAUGUUAUCCCGACCGGCUCGCUCGACGGUAUACGAAAGGUUUAAGGCCGCUCAUUUGGAGCGUUCGACUCGUAGCAACCGCGUUAGUUUUUGUUGAAGAUCGGACCUAGUGCCGAUCUCGACAGCUGACGAUUUGGUUGUUUAUGAAGAUUCUCGAACAGACCUUGUUAACCGAUCGGCGACGAUAUAGAUUUGGGUACUUUCAGGACCCGUCUUGAAACACGGACCAAGGAGUCCAGCAUAUACGCAAGUCAUUGGGAAUGAUUAAACCUAAAGGCAUAAUGAAAGUAAAAAUUCUCCUUGCGGGAAUUAAGGGAAGACAAGCGGUUUAGCCGUUAAAAGCGGCCGCUUUGCAUUCCUGGGGCGUCUCAUUCUCAGCAUGUCCUUGUGAUGUGCGAGAAGAGGCGCACCAAGAGCGUAUACGCU
rnacentral:rRNA from 1 species